rnacentral:rRNA from 1 species
GUCUUUACUGACGCUGAGGCACGAAAGCGUGGGGAGCAAACAGGAUUAGAUACCCUGGUAGUCCACGCCCUAAACGAUGAGUACUAAACGUUGGAUAAAACCAGUGUUGAAGUUAACACAUUAAGUACUCCGCCUGAGUAGUACGUACGCAAGUAUGAGACUUAAAGGAAUUGACGGGACUCCGCACAAGCGGUGGAUCAUGUUGUUUAAUUCGAAGGUACCCGAAAAACCUCACCAGGUCUUGACAUGCUUUUGCAAAGCUGUAGAAAUACAGUGGAGGUUAUCAGAAGCACAGGUGGUGCAUGGUUGUCGUCAGCUCGUGUCGUGAGAUGUUGGGUUAAGUCCCGCAACGAGCGCAACCCUUUUGUUAAUUGCCAUCAUUAAGUUGGGGACUUUAGCAAGACUGCCAAUGAUAAAUUGGAGGAAGGUGGGGACGACGUCAAAUCAUCAUGCCCCUUAUGACCUGGGCUACAAACGUGAUACAAUGGCUGUUACAAAGGGUAGCUGAGG